GCCCCCAUAGCUCAACGGAUAGAGCAAGGCCCUCCUAAGGCCGAGAUCGAGGUUCGAUUCCCCGUGGGGGUA
rnacentral:tRNA from 1 species